UAUGUGAGAUAACAUUAAGUGGUCUUGCUAUGCAAGAACACUUAAUGUUAUCUCACAUAUAUAUUAUUAUUAUUAUUAAGUGUUCUUGCAUAGCAAGACCACUUAAUGUUAUCUCACAUA
rnacentral:miRNA from 1 species